rnacentral:rRNA from 1 species
AGGGUUCGAUCCUGGCUCAGGACGAACGCUGGCGGCAUGCCUAACACAUGCAAGUCGAACGAGGGUAGCAAUACCCUAGUGGCGAACGGGUGAGUAACACGUGAGCAACCUGCCUUGUACAACGGGAUACCUACGAGAAAUUGUAGUUAAUACGGUAUAAGACCACAGCACCGCAUGGUGCAGGGGUAAAAGGAGCAAUCCGGUACAAGAUGGGCUCGCGUCGCAUUAGCUAGUUGGAGAGGUAACGGCUCACCAAGGCAACGAUGCGUAGCCGACCUGAGAGGGUGAUCGGCCACAUUGGGACUGAGAUACGGCCCAA